GCGACGGCGACAGCAGCAGAGACUUCAGAGUCUACAGAAGCCGGAGAGCUGGACGGCCUUGUGCCGCACGUGGAAGGGAGCGACACGGAGGCUUUGAAGCGCGACGAAUACGAAUCGACCGCAUCCGCAGUUUUCGGCGGCGGCAGCGGGAGCGGCUACCUGUACGACGGGCUGCUCGCCAGAGAAGGCAACCUGGCGACGACGCGACCGCCGGCUGGCGGAUUACAC
rnacentral:lncRNA from 1 species